AAGCUGUGUUGUGGGCAUGAACUGACAAGAUCCUUGAACCUUUCCUAACAUUACAAGAAUGUUUCAUCCUCCUUUCGGGUGAAGUUCAUGAUUGGUUUUCUAAGGGU